UACGGGGGGGGCAAGCGUUGUUCGGAAUUACUGGGCGUAAAGGGCUCGUAGGCGGCCAACUAAGUCAGACGUGAAAUCCCUCGGCUUAACCGGGGAACUGCGUCUGAUACUGGAUGGCUUGAGUUUGGGAGAGGGAUGCGGAAUUCCGAGGUGUAGCGGUGAAAUGCGUAGAUAUCUGGAGGAACACCGGUGGCGAAGGCGGCAUCCUGGACCAACACUGACGCUGAGUGAGCGAAAGCCAGGGGAGCAAACGGG
rnacentral:rRNA from 1 species